GACGAACGCUGGCGGCGUGCUUAACACAUGCAAGUCGAACGGAAAGGCCCUGCUUUUGUGGGGUGCUCGAGUGGCGAACGGGUGAGUAACACGUGAGUAACCUGCCCUUGACUUUGGGAUAACUUCAGGAAACUGGGGCUAAUACCGGAUAGGAGCUCCUGCUGCAUGGUGGGGGUUGGAAAGUUUCGGCGGUUGGGGAUGGACUCGCGGCUUAUCAGCUUGUUGGUGGGGUAGUGGCUUACCAAGGCUUUGACGGGUAGCCGGCCUGAGAGGGUGACCGGCCACAUUGGGACUGAGAUACGGCCCAGACUCCUACGGGAGGCAGCAGUGGGGAAUAUUGCACAGUGGGCGGAAGCCUGAUGCAGCAACGCCGCGUGCGGGAUGACGACCUUCGGGUUGUAAACCGCUUUCGCCUGUGACGAAGCGUGAGUGACGGUAAUGGGUAAAGAAGCACCGGCUAACUACGUG
rnacentral:rRNA from 1 species